ensembl:lncRNA
GUUUACAAAUAAUAUACUUUUUUAUUUAGAAUUAUUUCACAACUUAAUCUUGAGGUCCCCUGUAACAAAUUUAUCUUGAGGACCCCUAUUUAUUCUUAUCCAGACAGCCUUUUCAUGUUUCUUAAAAUAUAUUCCAUAAAAACCAGCUAGGUUUGAGUAGUAAUAAUAUUGGUUAAUCAAAGAAGAGCAGAAAACACAGGGCAUUCAAGAGAAUGUCAGUAUGUAUGAAAAAAAUGCACUACAGUGAUCCUGAAAUAGAUGUUCCAGUAGUAGAUGUUUCAGUGUUUUGGAACAGGACUUUUUUGUGGUAUUAACCUUUGAGAGGGGUGGAGACAGAGAACAUCCUCUGUCUGUCAUUUGCUAUGUGACUAACAAUGACAUUGCAGCUAUGAGGAUUUCAUUGCUAUGACAGUAUGAGAAAGCAGUUUGUGAGCAUUCACACCUACUUCUUUUGAAUUAGGAAUCAAGUGGUUGUAACCCCAAGAAGCUUAACUGCAUAUAAAGCUUAAAUCCUGUUAGUCAGAUGUAUUAUGAUGGAGAUGUAGAUCUCCUAAUCUGGAAGUCACAGAAAUGGUCUUCUGAUCUAAAUUUGCAGGACAGGAUUUACGUGUCCUGGCCCUCUAACAAGGUUAAGCCAAUUCAGAUUUCUGUGGAAGCUGGUGAAGAAUAUCCACUGAUCUCAACAGGAGUGUGAUGGGAUGGAGACAUUCGUGUAUUCUGUUCUGUGUAGUUCUGGAUUUACCAGGGAAAGAGUGAGCUGUAGCCUUCCUGUUAGUACUGUCUUGGAUGUGGUGCAUUAGCUGUUGCAUGGUGGCACACUUCCUCCCAGCUUUGCAGGGUGCCCAGCACUGCUCCCUGCAGAAUGCUCCAGAACACCUGGAAAUCUCCAGUAGUACACCGCUAUUGCAUUAUACUGAUUUGAAUUCGGCAGAGUUGUAGAAACUCCCUCACAUAUCUACUUAAAUGUCUUUAAUUUCUGAAAUUAAUGUAGGCCCAAUGAGACAUCCUAUUAAAAAUAGUCAGGAUAGAUCAUCCCUCACAGCUGCUUGGACAUUCCUAGCUUGAAAUGCUGCCGUCACUGAACAACUUUGAAUUUCAUAUAUAAUCUCUUGGUGGUUUGUGCUCAUACCACAUUUAUAAGAUGGCAUUUUGCCUGCCCUUAAGUGGCUGUUCCAGAUUUGAUAGAACAAAUUGCAAAUGACAAGCAAGAAAAGACUCAAAUGGGUGUACUGCCCCACACACCAAGCACCCUCCUGUGCUCAGAAGAGAAUCCCAAAUCCUGGAUGUGUAGUAACAUUUGCAUGCCUUUUAAUUUAUCAUGUAUGAAGCUGAAUAGUAUAAUACAGACCUUCAACUCAUGAAGAGAGGAAACAAAUUUUGUUACCAAAGACAUUACAUUAAAAGUGAGUUACAUUUUAUUCUCUAAAUUAAGUCUGGGGAGACCAUUAAGGUUAAGAUUCAUUCAAUGACAAAACAGAGACAAUAUUGGGGAUCUUGCAGCCAAUGCUUCCCGCCAACAGAAAGCAAGUAUUUAACAUUACUUCUGUUUUCAUUCAAAGUGAGGUGAUAUUACUGAGAAUAAAAAAAAAAAAUUGAAUUCUUGCCAGGAGUCUUUUUACAGUGAUCAUCUCUGACCAGGGCUCAAUUAAUUUAACUUUCCAAUCUCUAUAUUAUAUCCAGCCAACUUUUAAUGAGAGAGUUUUGUCUCUAGAAAAAAACAAACCUGAAAACAAUUCCUCUAAAGGUUCUUAAAUAGAAAAUGUCUUUAGAUUUCAUGAGGUAUAACAUUACUCAUUUAACAUUGAACAUUUUCAUGUGCUUGAGAAAUGUUUCUUUAAAUAAUUUGAAGAUUUAGUAUUUAUUUAUUUUGUUCUCUGUUCUUACUACAAUAAUAGAAUGCUUGAAAAGGUGUUAGAAAUGUAGAGAACAAUGCCCAUAUACUAAAUAUGCUGGUAUUGGAUCUUUAAAAAGAUGAUCAUAGCUCAGGGUUGCCAGAAAGAAAGCAGAGGCACAAACUAAAUGGAAAUGGAAAGAGUAGCUUAAAUGGAAAGAGUAGCUGAAAAACCACACCUGCAUGUUCAGCUCUGUUUGAUCCAUAGGCAGUGUUCACUGCUGUCUAUUAUAAACAUCACUGUGUUCAUACUUGCUACAGAAGUUUUUGGAUUUUUUAAAAUCAAUUGACAUAAGUAGUUAUUGGUGGUAGAAAUGUGUCAUUGUUAUGUGCAACUUGAGUUGGAAAAAAGAACUAAGAGGGCAUAGUAUUUCCAUUUUGCAACCCUUUUAAUGGAAAGAUUGUCUUAAUAACCAUAUUAGGCAGUAUUGCCACAAUAUUUUUAUUUUGCCGUAAAACCAAAUAUAAGCUACUUUUUAGAUUAUUAUUUUCCCACAAUUUCUUUGCUGUGUAAAAAUAAGUCUAUGGUCUUGAUGAUUUUCGCAGUUGUCUCAGGGUCCUGCUAUUUUACAGGUCAGCAGUAGUCUGCAACUGGAAGAACACUUCAUUGUGAUAUUCCUAAAUUGGUGCAAUGGCUUCAGACUUUAGGAAUAACUUUAUCUUCCCAAAAAUUGCAGGAUGAAGACAAAAUAUUCUAUACUAGUAUCUUUUAUGUAUGUUCUUGCCUCCAAAAAAUGUCUAUUAUGUGUGAAUGGGUCUGUGUCAUUUGUUUACUUGUUUUUUUGUUUCCACCUGUAUAGUUACUUAAAAACUAAUUACACCCUUGCCUACUGAAUAUGAAGUCAGUGGACUGUGUUGGUUUCAGAUAGGAGAGUUCCUUGAACGUAUGACAAGUCUGUAGUAAACUUCCUUGAUCAUUAGCUCCAACUCUUAGCUGCAAAUGAUUGUGGGAGAGAUACCAUGACUUCAGCUUCUGUCUGAAGUGAGCAUUACACUUCAGAAUAUCUUUCUGAAGGCAUUCAAUGUUUAAACAUGGUUCUCGUUUGUUAUGCUUCCUUCUAAUCUGUUCAGGAUGCUGACAGAGAGGGACCAAUCAUGAUGUCUCCUAUAAAUAAUGUCAGGUUGUUGUUCUCUUUUCACUCCCUGACUCAUUUGAAUGCUUGCUGCAAUCCUUGAGCUGUUAGGCUGCACUAAAUUGGAGGUAACUCAAUCACCUCCCUCUGGUCUAUAAAGCAUUCAGGGUUAGACUACGCAGAGGGCAAAAAGCCAGCAGAGAACAGUGGGACUAACACUGUGUACUGGGUGAAGACUGAGUGGCUUUAGCCAUGUGCCAUGUGUAGUAUGGAGGAUGUAUGUUUAGGGAACUGAAAAGGAGACUGUGUUCCUGAGUCACUGACUCCUGGAAGGCUGCUGUGCUUGUGACUGGAACAAACUUGCUGUUUUGCCUUUGCUAUUGAGAAGACACAUGAGACAUGCUUCACUGAUGAGAGGCAUGAUUUAUAUAUCUGCUCUUGGUUUUCAGUUCUGGGCACACUGUGUGCCUGAAAUUUGCAUGGUUCUACAUGUUAAAAGAAUUAACACCUCCUGCCAGUGUUUUAAUGUAGUUUAAUUCUGAGAUGUCAAGACCUUCUUGGAAGAAAUAACACCUUGGUCUGAUCUGAUUCCAUCUUGAGAGCACAAAUGUUUCAAGGAGUAGAAGUAAAUCUAUUUAGGGUUUUGGGUACCCUCCAUAAAUAGUUCUGGCAUGUGGGAAUCCAGGGCUUCCCUCUGUCUGCCCUGGCAGGUCUGGGACCCUGGCAGGGGGUCGGGAAUCCCCCUGUACAGAGCCCCGAGAGGCACUGUCUGUGAUCUCUGUCCAUGGAAAAGAGUUUUCAGUCUUACAGGAUGAAUUACAAGCUCUAAGUGUUUGAUAUGAGUAAUAAUUAAGUGUGGCACGGGUGCAAAAGUAAAAUUUUAGGUUUCUAGAUUAGGGGUUCAAAGGGGACAAGAUGGAAGAAUUGGGUGUGUCUUGUCCUUUUUCUCCUUCUUCAUGCCCUCCAUGUUUCACUGUAGUGUUGGCAUUUUUCUAUUGGUUUAGGCUGGGGACACACUGUUUAACGUAGGUGACAGAUAUUGGCACGUUAUUGUAAAUAUAGCACAGAUAGUUUCUGGUAUAUAAUGUUUGUAACAUCCCACUGGGGGCAGAGCCCCACACGCUGCCCUGCAGGACAGACCUGCGGCAGGGCAGCAGAACAUGUUAGAGAUAAGCAAGAAUAAACAACCUUGAAACCAGCACAGAUGAAUUAUGGCUUCUUCUUUGGCAACAGGGCUGAAAGACAGAGACUUUCUACAAUCUCGGAAUCAUCAAUACCCACAGAUUCCGACACUGGCAGCUCAUUCAGUCCAGUCUCCCAUCUUUCUGAUGUCAUCUUCUCCAGCAUAGUCUGUAUCUUCUAAUUCUGUAUUUUCUAAUUCUUCCUGCGCUAUGAAAUCUCAUUAUACAAAAUAAAAUAUGUAUGAAAGAGAAAUAGGAGGUGAGGCAGCAUAUUGAAAAUCUGGGAACUCUCCUUCCUUACUGCAGUCUUUUGUGACAGUUGCGGAAGGAAUAUCAGACCAACAAUUUUGAGCAACAACAAAACUGUUGGUCACCAACAAUAAUCUAAAAGUUUCCUGACUGAAACUUUUUGAGAGGAGUCUGCUCAGGGAUAUGUUUCGUGUAAGUGCUUGCUGAGAAUUUCAGUCACAAGCCCUUUUUCCCAAGGCAAUCUUUUUGCUUUAAGAUGAUUGUGUGUACUCCACUUCAGAGGUGAUGCUUAAACCUUCAAAGUAUCUAGUGCUAGUGCUAAACUUUCUACCUUUCAAAGGCUUUAACCUUUCUGUGAUUCACUUAUACUCCCAUUACAGGCUCAUAGUGUCCCCCCAGUGAUGAUCUUUCUUCAUUGUGUAUUUCUUAUUUUCUUGAGACUGAUGUAUCUAAAAAUAUUCACAGCCCAAGUAGAAUUACCUAGUAUUUCCUCUGGUUAAGAAGGUUUUUACCCUGUAUUUGGUGAUUGUAAGCAUGGAGGUUUUUUGAUCAAGGUAUGCUUAGUUUCAAAGCUGUGUGAUAUAUAGAACAAAUCUUAAAUUGGAGGAAGGGGUUAAAUUACUUCAUUAUUUACUUGAACCCCUGAGACUAACAGGUGCAUAUUGGAAAAGAUAAGGAGAGAUGUUUAAAGCCAGCUGCAGACAAGCUGUUAUUUCACUGUGUCUCUGAGAAACCAUGGGUAGAUUGUCUCAUCGUCUCAUGAUGAUGGCCGCUGCCCCGAGCACUAACCAGUAUCCUCCUGUACAGCUCCUCUUCUAGGAGAAACUGAGAAAUAAUUACUGUGGAACUACCCUGAGCUCUAAAUAGCUGUUAUUCUUUAGGUACACUACCUACCAAGAGGUUUCAUCUGCAAAUAAUACCUCUUGAGAAAGUACGCAGGCAGGAUGUGAUAAUUUACAAAAGGCCUUAAGAGAUUGCAAUAUAAAUGUCACAGCUGGGUACGUUUGCAGUUCACAGUAGGUUUGGAGAUACAGAUCCUGAGGCCAGAUCCUUUGCUGCUGUGCCUCAGUAGAAUCGUGCUGACUUAGACAAUUUUCAAGACUUGAUUUUCAAAAGAGCUUUCCUAAGAAUAGUUCAAAAUUUGAAUAAGUAGUACAUGUCAAAUGGGGAUGUUUUUCUUUUUUUAAUUUAGAAGAAUUUUAAUUUAUUUUACAAUUUUUUUUAAAUAAAGCUGGAAACAACGAGGGAUUUUCUUCUGAACCAGCUUUUGAAUAAACAUUUCUUUGAGUAAUAAUGUGAAAAUGCAUUUUUGGCAGAAAAUGGCAUUAUUUUCCUAGGAAAUUCUUGGCUAGUGUGACCUCCAAGUCCUGAGACUGUGGAUGGGGGUACAGGGAGGAGGGUGAAAGGAGGUGAAUGAAAAGCCACAUUGCCUCCCCAGCUCUGAGCAGCCAAUGGAGGCUCCCACACCAAGACAGCUGGGGAAGCAAAGUGGCCACAGGGGGCAAGAGACACCUGUAACAGUGAUCAUAAAAUCUAGACAAAAGACUUAAUGAGUCUUCUGCCCAUAAAAAAAAAUAAGGUAAUGCUGCUGGAGGACAAGGGGAUAAAGGAUUAAUUAAUCCCAAAUUUGAGAAGAAUACAGUCUCAUUCAAUGAGAUUUCAUUGUCCUAAUUUUACCUCAUUCUGUUACUGACUGACUAAUCUUUUGUUCUGAAUUAAUGUUUCCUUCCUAUAAAAAGCAAUGUGAUGGAAACUUCUUUUAUCUUUUCAUACAUCUGUUCUCUUUCCUAGUGCUUUUGACUUGAUAUUUGGAGAACAGUGGCAGGAACUUGAACAGAGAGUCAUGUAACUCCUUCUUCCUGUGUUUUUACUGGAAAUCCCAAAAGGAGUGGUUGGCUUGUUCUGUGCAUCGAGAAAUUAACCCUGAUUCCCCUUAGCUCUGUACUGAGAAAAUUCUCUAGGGUCCAUCUGAAAGACCCACACAGCCACUCCCCUGAAGCCUUUCGGUAUCCCUGAAGUAGAGUUUCAUUAGAAUCCAGCUAUUUGAGUUUCACCUCUGCCAAGGAUUUGGCUUCAGACUCUGGUAGCUUCCAACACCUUCUGAUGUAGGGGCAGGCCUUCGAAAGGAACCAGCCACUGCCAUGAAUCUGGGCUCUUGCAGUAGUUCGUGCUUGCAGUCUGGAGUGUAGAUAGAGUUAAAAUAAUCCCUGUUCUAACAGUUCACCCAUCUCAUUUUUACCACUGUGCCCUCUGGUAAGGAUGAUUGACUGUAAGAACCAAAUUUUGUUCUCAGAAGCUUAGAAAGAGGCUUAACGCUGUGACAGACAAGAAACUUCCUAAGAAAACGAAGGACAAAAUGACAACAAGAAAGUUUACAAAGAAGGAACAUGGGAUUUAACAACAGUGUACAGAAAAAACAAGCUAGUUCCAAAUUAUAAAUGCUGAUCUUGGAUGUCUGAGGUAAACAGAGAAGGUUUCCAUGUUUCCCAGAUUUUUUUCUGACACCUAAUGUGGGCAAGAUGAUCAUUUGGUGGGAAUUCAUGUAGUUCCAAGAAAGUGCAGUUGCUGGUUUACAGCAAAUGAUAUGUGGCCCUUUGUGUCUAUAACCCACAUCAUGGGUAUUUAUCGGUUUAAGUUUUCUAAAGUGUAUGUCUCUAGAUCAUUCUUUGGAAAGCUGAAAGAAAUCAGUGACUCCCUCAUUUCAUUGUACUUGGCCUUACAUGGUUUAAGGCUAUAGCAAAUACAAUUUUUCCUCUCUGUUAUAUGUGAGUCCUUUCUGAUACUGAGAACAUUAUAUUGUCUUCACAAAGGAUUGAUGCUGUUUAUUGGACAUAAAACUAAAGAGGACGCUAAAAACAAUUAUAAUAAUACAGUAUCUGCAGACAAAUGGCUUUUCUGACACAAAACAACAAAAUGAGUUAUUAAUCUAAGUGUCAAUUAAUGCUUUUAAGAUGCUUUAAUUGUACAGUAUCUAUUUCAGACUCAUGAAAUGUAGAAGUAAUUUGGGCUAAAAGAAGAUAUGAUUCACAGUCAAUAUGUAACUGUGACUUGACAAGGGGCUUAAUAGCUGCCUGAGGCAGAUCAGAAUGUGUGAUAAUGAGAAUCUAGCAGAAAAACACAUCAUGGAACUGAACUGCAGAGUUUCCCUGGGUAAAUGGUGUCAGAGCUGGUCAUGCUUCUACAAGGCAAAAAGGCAGAAGCAGUCAGUGACUCUGCAACCUUGGAGUUAGUUACUUAUUUUUGAAGUAAAUACAUGUAUUCAACCUUGGAGUUAGUUACAAAUACUUAUUUUUGAAGUAAAUACAUGUAUUAAUUCAUAGUCGUAUUAAUAUAUAAAUGUACAUACUUUUUAUUUUUUAUAAUGCAGUUUGGUGAAAUGCAUUUUAGCAUGACAGAGAAGUGGGAUCAUAAUAAAGACUUAAAUU